rnacentral:rRNA from 1 species
UACGAAGGGGGAUAGCGUUGUUCGGAAUCACUGGGCGUAAAGCGCACGCAGGCGGAUCGAUAAGUCGGGGGUGAAAGCCCGGGGCUCAACCUCGGAAUUGCCUUCGAUACUGUCGGUCUCGAGUCCGGGAGAGGUGAGUGGAAGUCCUAGUGUAGAGGUGAAAUUCGUAGAUAUUAGGAAGAACACCAGUGGCGAAGGCGGCUCACUGGCCCGGUACUGACGCUCAGGUGCGAAAGCGUCGGGAGCACACAGG